rnacentral:misc_RNA from 1 species
AUAAUAAUAAUAAUAAUAAUAAACCAUUUGGCAUGGCAUCCCAAAUAGAAAAUAUGGGAAAUUUCACUGCAUUCUAUUCUUUGCACUGAAAAUCUUCAUUUCAGUCACUUCUAUGGAUGCCAAGUUGUCUCUUCUCACACCUUGAUCUCCAGAAUUUACUCCUUUUUUAACUGGUGAUAAUGUUAUGACAGCUAGACCAUGGUGACAUGGAAUCUGAUCUAUUCUUUGAAACAAUAGAAUCAGACUAAAAUUUUGUUGCAUUGUUUGUCUUUUAAAACUGAAUAAACAGCUUCAUCCUAAUCACAAAUGCCUUUGAUGGGUGAUUGAGUGUGGCUUUGAUGGUAGCAUGUCACUGUUUAGUUGCCAUUUUACAUUUUCCCUGCUUCAUGUUCAUUGCCAUUUCUUGGAAUUGCAGGUUGCCACUCAGUGGCUUGCAAACGGCUGUUUGAAUUUUAUACAAUAUAUAAUCUGAUGUUAUCAAUUUAAGAACUACAUCUAAACGAAGAGCGAAAACUAUUGAAUUAACUGUGCAACUUCUUGCUGUAUUUGGCUUUUUUUCUGCUGCGUGUUAUAAAUCAACAAAAACAUGAAUGAUUAGCCUUUUGGGUUGUAUUAUUGUUUUUUAAUUUAAGUCUUAUUUAUUUGUAAUCUUGAAUUUCAACAUUGGUAAUAAUUGUGAUUAAUUUUGUAAAAUAGUGUUGUAAUGUACAUGUGAAGUCUACAUAAAGCUGAAUUAGAGAAAAAAAA